rnacentral:rRNA from 1 species
GAUGAACGCUGGCGGCGUGCCUAAUACAUGCAAGUCGAGCGAACAGAUAAGGAGCUUGCUCCUUUGACGUUAGCGGCGGACGGGUGAGUAACACGUGGGUAACCUACCUAUAAGACUGGAAUAACUCCGGGAAACCGGGGCUAAUGCCGGAUAACAUUUAGAACCGCAUGGUUCUAAAGUGAAAGAUGGUUUUGCUAUCACUUAUAGAUGGACCCGCGCCGUAUUAGCUAGUUGGUAAGGUAACGGCUUACCAAGGCAACGAUACGUAGCCGACCUGAGAGGGUGAUCGGCCACACUGGAACUGAGACACGGUCUAGACUCCUACGGGAGGCAGCAGUAGGGAAUCUUCCGCAAUGGGCGAAAGCCUGACGGAGCAACGCCGCGUGAGUGAUGAAGGUCUUCGGAUCGUAAAACUCUGUUAUUAGGGAAGAACAAAUGUGUAAGUAACUGUGCACGUCUUGACGGUACCUAAUCAGAAAGCCACGGCUAACUACGUG